rnacentral:rRNA from 1 species
UACGUAGGUGGCAAGCGUUGUCCGGAUUUACUGGGCGUAAAGAGCGCGCAGGCGGCUCGGUAAGUCUGCUGUGAAAUCUCCCGGCUUAACUGGGAGGGGUCAGCGGAUACUGUCGGGCUUGAGGCAGGUAGAGGAAGGUGGAAUUCCCGGUGUAGUGGUGAAAUGCGUAGAUAUCGGGAGGAACACCAGCGGCGAAGGCGGCUUUCUGGUCCGAUACUGACGCUGAGGUGCGAAAGCGUGGGGAGCGAUCCGG